AUGCUAAAAGUUAUUAUUCCAACAAUUAUACUGUUACCAAUAACAUGACUGUCAAAAAAUUCUGUAAUCUGAAUUAACAUAACUAUUCACAGCAUAUUCAUUGGCCUCAUUACUCUACUAUUUUUUAACCAGUUAAACGAUAAUUCAUCUAACUUCUCAUUAACCUUCUUUCCUGACCCGCUAACGUCGCCCCUUCUAAUCUUAACAUCCUGACUACUACCUCUUAUAAUUCUAGCAAGCCAAUAUCACCUGUCCAAUGAAUCACUUCUAUGAAAAAAACUCAUUUCUAUAUUAAUUUCCCUAUAAAUUUUUUAGUUAUAGCAUUCACAGCCACUGAACUAAUUAUAUUUUAUGUCCUCUUUGAAACCACACUUAUUCCUACCCUAAUUAUCAUCACCUGCUGAGGUAACCAAACAGAACACCUCAAUGCAAGCUCAUAUUUCUUAUUCUAUACACUAGUGGGAUCCCUUCCCCUACUUGUCACGCUUAUCUAUACUCAAAAUGUCUCAGGUUCACUAAGUAUGCUAAUAAUGACGUUUACCACCGAAGAACUAUUAAAUGCCUGAUCUAAUAACAUUAUAUGACUAGCAUGUAUCUUGGCUUUUAUAGUAAAAAUACCUCUAUAUGGGCUUCACCUAUGACUUCCCAAAGCCCACGCAGAAGCUCCUAUUGCCGGCUCAGUAGUACUUGCAGCGGUACUCCUAAAACUAGGCGGCUACAGUAUCAUAGGGCUUACCCUUAUCCUCAGCUCCGUAACAGAAUACAUAGCCUACCCUUUCCUCAUAUUAUCCUUAUGAGGGAUAGUCAUGACAAACUCAAUUUGUCUACCACAAACCGAUUUAAAAUCACUAAUCGCUUACUCCUCUGUAAGCCAUACAGCACUUGUUAUUGUGGCUAUCCUCAUUCAAACCUCUUGAAGCUUUACAGGCGCAGUCACCCUCAUAAAUGCCCAUGGACUCACUUCAUCCUUACUAUUCUGCCUAGCAAAUUGGAACUAUGAACGAGUCCAUAGCCGAAUUAUACUACUUCUCCAAGGCCUUCAAACAUUGCUUCCACUAAUAGCCUCCUGAUGACUUCUAGCAAAUCUUACUAACCUUGCCUUACCCCCUACUAUUAAUCUAGUAGGAGAACUCUUCAUCACUAUGGUUUCAUUCUCCUGAUCAAACACCACCAUUAUGCUUAUAGGACUUAAUAUGCUAAUCACAGCCCUUUUACUCCCUGUGUAUGCUAACCACGAUACAAUGAGGAACACUUGCGUAUUACCUUAACAGUAUUAAACCCUCCUUUACAUGAGAAAAUACACUAAUACUUACACAUGUUGCACCUAUUUUCCUAUUAUCCUUAAACUCUAAAAUUAUUGUGGGAUUUGCA
rnacentral:lncRNA from 1 species